CAAAGCAUGGGGUUAUAUAUGUUCAUAGGAAUGUAUCAACUUGUAACUGUAACAUUCUCUAGAAGUUCAGUUAAUAGUUAUAAAAUCACUACCUUAUGUGCAAGAAAUGCAAAAUCGGUUACAGCUGUUGCAAGAAAUGCUCACUGAUGUGAAGUGUAGAUUGAGUUGUUGGACUGUACCAGGAAAUGUCAAUAAUGCACUCCAAAUCAGAGUAAUGGAAGAAUCUCUGAUGAAAUCUCUUGAUUCACAUCGAGAACACUAGGGGCAUCAUUGUCUGCAGUUACCUAAUCAUGGCAACAUACGGAAGCUUAAGUGAAGAU